rnacentral:rRNA from 1 species
GACGAACGCUGGCGGCGUGCUUAACACAUGCAAGUCGAACGGAAAGGCCCUGCUUUUGUGGGGUGCUCGAGUGGCGAACGGGUGAGUAACACGUGAGUAACCUGCCCUUGACUUUGGGAUAACUUCAGGAAACUGGGGCUAAUACCGGAUAGGAGCUCCUGCUGCAUGGUGGGGGUUGGAAAGUUUCGGCGGUUGGGGAUGGACUCGCGGCUUAUCAGCUUGUUGGUGGGGUAGUGGCUUACCAGGGCUUUGACGGGUAGCCGGCCUGAGAGGGUGACCGGCCGCAUUGGGACUGAGAUACGGCGCAGACUCCUACGGGAGGCAGCAGUGGGGAAUAUUGCACAAUGGGCGGAAGCCUGAUGCAGCAACGCCGCGUGCGGGAUGACGGCCUUCGGGUUGUAAACCGCUUUCGCCUGUGACGAAGCGUGAGUGACGGUAAUGGGUAAAGAAGCACCGGCUAACUACGUG